rnacentral:lncRNA from 1 species
GGAGGAGGGGGGUGCUGCUUAAGGGCCCAGGGGGCUGGGGAGGGGCCCAGCAGGGCCCAGGACAGGGAUUGGCAGAGGCUGAGGAGGGGUCUUGGGCUGGGAAAAGGCUAGAGAGGAGCCAAUUCUAUCCACUGGUCUGGAAGAAAGACUGGGGUUUAGGGACCCUGAGCCAUAAGGCGAGGGACUGCCAGGAGCCCCCAGGAUCCUGUGUCUGACUCACAGAAUCCAUUAGGGGGCCUCAUGACCAGGGUCAGAAGUACCAAGGCAGGGCAAGAAAGCGGCAGGUUUGGCAAUCUGCCUGGGAUAGGGGAUGUGCUUACCUUCAGGCACACCUGAACAGACAGCUCAUGGCUUUUACUGUGAGGGUGACUUUAUUUGGGUGGCUUUGGAGGGACUGAGGUGAGCCCUACUUGAAUUGCUCAGUGGCUCAGGCCCUGUUCCAUAUUUUGUGGCACUGCAGGGCUGGAAGGGGGCAGUUCUGUGUCCCCAGUGGAUUCUCUGCCACUGGAAUCCAGGAAGGCUUGUGAGGGGGAGCCCCCCUCCCUUAGGCUCUGGUCACACUCUGAGGCAGGGAUUAAUACUAACCACUUACCACCUGCCAGGCGUGGCCUGAGCAUUUUAUGUUCAUUUUUUCCCUCAUACUCAUCUGAACCCGACCCUUCCCCUCCCAGAGCAGACUGUGGCUCACCUUGGCCAGCACAAAUGGUGCAGGAGACUGCUUGGAAUCUUGAUCUCUCUAAGCCUCAGUUUGCUUUUCUGUGAUCUAUUCAUUCACCAAAUUGAGAAUCUACCACCUGCAAGCUCUUGCCUACCACGAGAAAAAUUCUUGCCCUCCCAGAGCUUCUAUACUAGGCAGAUGAACAUGUGACAAGUCAUUUCACACAUAUCGGUGGCCACCAUGGAGGUGCUGUGACAGAGAAGAGCAGGUAUCUGAAGGCAAAAGUGGCAGUGGGACCUGGGGGCCCAGGAAGAUCCUCUGCCAAAAGGCCUUUUGCACCAGGGACUGGAGGAUGGAUCUAAGAGAUGCCUGCUGGAGGCUGAGGAAGCAGAGGAAACCAAAG